CUUUAAACUAAUAUGAAUUUCAACACAGUAGGAGUAAUUUACCUGAUCACAUGCCCCUGCCCCAAACAAUAUGUGGGGCGGACUAAGAGAUCUGUGAAAACCAGGAUCGCAGAACAUAUCCAAAACAUUGAAAAAGGACUGUAGACACACAACCUUUCCAAGCAUUUUCAAGAAUUCCAUGGAGGUGAUCCUACGGGAUUGAGAUUUUUACCUAUUGAAAAAGUGAAUGUACACUGGAGAGGAG